rnacentral:ncRNA from 1 species
ACAAGUUAAAGGCAAAACCAUUGAAAGGUGGUGACGCAAAGCUAGAGGGACUAAGGGAUUUCCUAUGUCAGCCAGUUGCCAAA